CCUGGCGGCGUGCUAUACAUGCAAGUCGAACGAAACUUUCUUACACCGAAUGCUUGCAUUCACCGUAAGAAGUUGAGUGGCGGACGGGUGAGUAACACGUGGGUAACCUGCCUAAAAGAAGGGGAUAACACUUGGAAACAGGUGCUAAUACCGUAUAUCUCUAAGGAUCGCAUGAUCCUUAGAUGAAAGAUGGUUCUGCUAUCGCUUUUAGAUGGACCCGCGGCGUAUUAACUAGUUGGUGGGGUAACGGCCUACCAAGGUGAUGAUACGUAGCCGAACUGAGAGGUUGAUCGGCCACAUUGGGACUGAGACACGGCCCAAACUCCUACGGGAGGCAGCAGUAGGGAAUCUUCCACAAUGGACGCAAGUCUGAUGGAGCAACGCCGCGUGAGUGAAGAAGGUCUUCGGAUCGUAAAACUCUGUUGUUAGAGAAGAACACGAGUGAGAGUAACUGUUCAUUCGAUGACGGUAUCUAACCAGCAAGUCACGGCUAACUACGUGCCAGCAGCCGCGGUAAUACGUAGGUGGCAAGCGUUGUCCGGAUUUAUUGGGCGUAAAGGGAACGCAGGCGGUCUUUUAAGUCUGAUGUGAAAGCCUUCGGCUUAACCGGAGUAGUGCAUUGGAAACUGGAAGACUUGAGUGCAGAAGAGGAGAGUGGAACUCCAUGUGUAGCGGUGAAAUGCGUAGAUAUAUGGAAGAACACCAGUGGCGAAAGCGGCUCUCUGGUCUGUAACUGACGCUGAGGUUCGAAAGCGUGGGUAGCAACAGAUA
rnacentral:rRNA from 2 species